rnacentral:rRNA from 1 species
UACGUAGGGUGCGAGCGUUAAUCGGAAUUACUGGGCGUAAAGCGUGCGCAGGCGGCUUCGCAAGUCAGACGUGAAAGCCCCGGGCUUAACCUGGGAAUGGCGUUUGAAACUACGGAGCUGGAGUGUGGCAGAGGGAGGUAGAAUUCCACGUGUAGCGGUGAAAUGCGUAGAUAUGUGGAGGAACACCAAUGGCGAAGGCAGCUCGCUGGGACGUUACUGACGCUGAUACGCGAAAGCGUGGGGAGCAAACAGG